UGCGCAUCGAAAUGGAAUAUUCCCUCCAAGAUCGAGUGCGUACAACAACAUCCCGCUUACAUUUACACAAUGUCCUCGCAUCUCUUUUAGGAGACCACAAAGUGCUUUACUGAUAGUCAAAAUAAGUAAAA